CAAGAAAGCUUAUCCAUGGAAGAAGCACCUUACCAAUACACAGACAUCAGACCCAUACCUAGACAUCAGACCCAUACCUAUACAGAAUUAUUAUAUAUAUAUAUAUAUAUUUAUAUCUCUCGCUUUGGCUUCAAGAGUACGUGAUCAACCAUCUCAAGCCAAACCAAUUUCUCUCUCCUCAUCACUCUUUGUUCUCUCUUGUUAUACUCAACAACAAAAAGCUUCAUUUCUGUAUCUAUAGAUCAAGUCAAUUUACUCUUCCUUGAGAUGGCGUCAAUCACACCCAUUUCUCAAUCCCAACCCCUUUUUAACAACACCCAAUUCAGGCAUAGGAAGUUCAACAACAUGUUUUUCACAAACCCCAAUUUCAGAGCUUUCACUGGCCAAUCUUCUUCUUCUUCUUCUGCGAAUAAGAAUAAGAAGAUGGUGGUGAUGGUGUCGGCGACGACGGCGGCGGAGAAGCCGAAGAAGAGGUAUCCUGGGGAGGCGAAGGGGUUUGUGGAGGAAAUGAGGUUUGUUGCCAUGAAAUUGCACACCAGGGACCAGGCCAAGGAGGGGGAGAAGGACUCUGAGGGCCCUCCUGUUGCCAAAUGGGAGCCCUCGGUUGAUGGUUACUUGAGAUUUCUUGUGGACAGUAAGUUGGUGUAUGAUACACUUGAGAAGAUUGUCCAAAAUGCUUCAUUUCCUGAAUAUGCUGAGUUCAGGAACACAGGAUUGGAAAGGUCAGACAGUCUGGCAAAAGAUUUGGAAUGGUUUAAAGAGCAAGGUCAUACAAUUCCUGAACCUUCAACUCCUGGUGUUAGCUACGCUAAUUAUCUCGAGGAAUUAUCAAAGAAGGAUCCUCAAGCUUUUAUUUGCCACUUCUAUAAUAUAUAUUUCGCACACACUGCUGGUGGUCGAAUGAUUGGGAGAAAGGUAGCUGAAAAGAUAUUAAACAAGGAGGAGCUGGAAUUCUAUAAAUGGAAUGGUGACCUUUCCCAACUGUUGCAGAAUGUGAGGGAGAAGCUGAAUCGAGUUGCUGAGAACUGGACUAGGGAGGAGAAGAACCACUGUUUGGAAGAAACAGAGAAGUCAUUCAAGUUAUCGGGAGAUAUCCUCCGUUUAAUACUGUCAUGAUUCGCUAAUAGCGCUGUUGUUGUUGUGUACUGCUGUUUCAAUUAUUUUUCCGGCCAUGGCAUUGAAGCCAAUUUGGUAAUGAUAUUGAACUUAUGGUAUACACAGCUUGCAAAAUUUGUUUGUGUUUGGCCAGUUUGGGUGAUGGGGAAGUAGGAUAAAAGAAAUUUGUUUUGGUGGGUUUUUCUGUUGGAGAAUGAAAAUCGUUUAAGGCUCUGUUUGGUGAACAGUAUCUGGAAAGUGGCUUUGGAUAGGAAGUUGUCAACUGUUCCAGUUAACUAUAGCAGCAAAAGGCAAUGUAGCUAAUUUGACUAAGGGAGAAAAGCUGGAUCACGAUAACUAUGAUAUUUGGCGUCGUAAGAUCCACUAUCUCCUAAAUGAGCAAGAGGUCUUGGAGACUUUUGAGCAAGUGAUGACUGAGCUUGAGCAAGGCACUACAGCUCAGCAUCGUUGGGAUCUUGAGGCUUAUAAAAAAUGGUGCAACAAAGAUCGAUGUGCACGCUUUACAAUGUUAAGCAGCAUGCAUAACGACUUGAUAGCAGAGUUUGAAGGUCCUUGAUUGCUUUUGAAAUGUGGGAGGCUUUCAAACAAAAAUUUGGCAUCACCUCUUUAGCUAAGUUGCGUGGGUUGACCAUGAAAUUUGAUUCCUAUCAGAAAAAGGCGCAUCAUUCAAUAAAGCAGCAUCUGAGGGUAAUGUCAACUAUGAUAUACGAGCUGGCGGCAGCAGGUCAUAAUCUGACACAAAAGCAACAAGUUUAGGCAGUGAUUCACUUACUUUCUCAUUUUUGGAAAGAAAUAAAGCGUCAAAUGACGCACAAUUGUAGACACCUCAUUUUGAUUUCCUUUAAGACUUGGGCGUUUCAUUCCGAACACUCGAAGAUGAAAUGUUAUAUUGUGCAAUCUUUCGAUUCUUCAGUAAUAGAAUUCAGUUUUAAGUUUCGAACCCAAACCAUACACCCCAUUUGGACCAAAACCUAUUUUUCUAGCCUAACUACUCAAAGAGCAGCAAGGCCAAAAGUUGACCGGCAGGCCACAUUUUUGGGCCGGCCGUACAUCCUCUUGGUCAACUGGCCAUGUUUAACACAGAAGAUAUUUCUGCAGCAGCAGGCUACUCCCAUGCACGGGAUUUGGGCCAGCUGUCUUUUUUGAAGAUAUUUCUAUUGAAAAGCGGUUGAAAAUCUAUAAAUAGGCCAUCUCCCUUCAGAAUUUAGGGUUAGAGAAUUGUUUUACAAGCUUAGAAAAUUGAUUCAAAGCAACUCUCCACCUUUUUGCAUAUAGAUACACUAUAGAUACACCAUUGAAGCUCACACUUGAAGCUUUUUGUUGAAGUUUUAAACCUUAUUUCAGAUACUUGAGGGUGUUUGGAUUGAAGUUUGUGAAUCAAAAAGCUCUUCCUCUUUCCAAGAGGUUAACCUUUGAACUCCUUUCAUCACCUUUUCUUUUACUAUUUGCUCUUUAUUUCUUGUCAUAAUAUUAUGAUUUUUAGAGCUAUUGUAGGCUUAAAAAUGUGAUUUAAACUUUGUUGAAGAUGGAGGUGGAAGGGUUAGCCACCCUUCCAUAGGCUUAUCCAUAGUUGUGUUCUCUUUGUUUUCUCCAUGCUUUUGCUCAUUUUUCUUCACUUUUAAAUUGAUUUCAGCACAGUCUUAGUUAGUCA